AUGAUAUAACUAAUUAGUGGGGAUUGGAGGAACAUCAGACAUUCUGAUGUUCGACAUUUUCAAGGGACGAAGAAGAACCCAUUCAAGUUUUGUAGAAAUUCAACAAAUUGAAGGGAUUUUGGCAUGAUAAUUAAAUGCAUGGAUCAAGAUUUAGAAUUAUCUGUCCCUAACAAACAUGUGGUCAUCGAAUUUGGGAAAGGACAUAAGGGGAUAAACAUGAUCACUUGGUAAUUAAGGUUUGAGCUUAAAGUCAAGCAAGGACUUGAAGACUCCAGGUAAGUGAUUCCCGAGCUCAACUUCUUAUUAUGUAAAUGAAAGCUUAUGUAUAUAAGAAUGGAAUCAUGAAAGGAUGGAUAGAUAAUAGUGGCGCAAAGGUAAGGAAUGUUGUAACGGGUCAUUUGUAUUUUAAUUAUGCUUGAAACCACAUGGUGGGCAACAAACGGGUGAUAAUUAAGGAAGUAGCGUAGUAAGAUGUAGAUUAUAGAUGUUGGGGUUAAGGAAUUAGUGUUGGACAUUAAACCAAAAACAAAUUGUCAGUCGUGUGAUUUUGGAAAACAUAUCAAGUUACCUUUUAUUU
rnacentral:lncRNA from 1 species